GAUGAACGCUAGCGGCAUGCUUAACACAUGCAAGUCGGACGGGAAGUGGUGUUUCCAGUGGCGGACGGGAGAGUCAAGCGUAAGAACAUGCCCUUGGUAGGGGGACCACAACUGGGAACGAUCGCUAAUAACCUGUAGCUAGUGGAGCAAAGGAAGGGAUCCGCCCGAGGAGGGGCUGGCGUCUGAUUAGCUAGUUGGUGAGGCAAUAGCUUACUAAGCCGAUGAUUAGUAGCUGGUCUGAGCUGAUGAUCAGCCACACUGGGACGGAGACACGGCGCAGACUCCGAGGGGAAGCAGCAGGGAAGAAUGUUCCACGAUGGGAAGAAGGCUGAAGGAGCGAUGCGUGGGGGAGGUAGAAGGCCGACGGGUCAUGAGCUUUUGUUCGCAGAGAAGAAGCAGUGACGGUAACUGAGGAAGAAGCAUCGGCUAACUCUGUG
rnacentral:rRNA from 1 species